rnacentral:hammerhead_ribozyme from 1 species
ACACUGCUGACGAGUCCCACAAUAGAACAAAACGGCCGUCCAGUGC